rnacentral:rRNA from 1 species
GCGGGUCGAUGCGCGAAGCCUGACGCAGCACGCCGCGUGAGGGACGAAGGCUUUCUGAGUUGUAAACCUCUUUCGACAGGAACGAUUGUGACGGUACCUGUAGAAGAAGCACCGGCCAACUAUGUGCCAGCAGCCGCGGUGAUACAUAGGGUGCGAGCGUUAUUCGGAUUUAUUGGGCGUAAAGAGCUCGUAGGCGGUUCAACAAGUCGGGUGUUAAACCCCCAGGCUCAACCUGGGGCCGCCACCCGAAACUGUUGUGACUAGAGUUUGGUAGGGGAUCACGGAAUUCCUGGUGUAGCGGUGGAAUGCGCAGAUAUCAGGAGGAACACCAGUAGCGAAGGCGGUGAUCUGGGCCAAUACUGACGCUGAGGAGCGAAAGCGUGGGGAGCGAACAGGAUUAGAUACCCUGGUAGUCCACGCCGUAAACGGUGGGCACUAGGUGUGGGGACUUUUCAACGGUUUCCGCGCCGCAGCUAACGCAUUAAGUGCCCCGCCUGGGGAGUACGGUCGCAAGA